UGGGGAAUUUUGGACAAUGGGCGAAAGCCUGAUCCAGCAAUGCCGCGUGUGUGAAGAAGGCCUUCGGGUUGUAAAGCACUUUUGUCCGGAAAGAAAUCCUUGGCUCUAAUACAGUCGGGGGAUGACGGUACCGGAAGAAUAAGCACCGGCUAACUACGUGCCAGCAGCCGCGGUAAUACGUAGGGUGCAAGCGUUAAUCGGAAUUACUGGGCGUAAAGCGUGCGCAGGCGGUUUGCUAAGACCGAUGUGAAAUCCCCGGGCUCAACCCGGGAACUGCAUUGGUGACUGGCAGGCUAGAGUAUGGCAGAGGGGGGUAGAAUUCCACGUGUAGCAGUGAAAUGCGUAGAGAUGUGGAGGAAUACCGAUGGCGAAGGCAGCCCCCUGGGCCAAUACUGACGCUCAUGCACGAAAGCGUGGGGAGCAAACAGGAUUAGAUACGUGGUAGUCCAGCGCCCUAAACGAUGUCAACUAGUUGUUGGGGAUUCAUUUCCUUAGUAACGUAGCUAACGCGUGAAGUUGACCGCCUGGGGAGUACGGUCGCAAGAUUAAAACUCAAAGGAGUUG
rnacentral:rRNA from 1 species